GAGUUUGAUCCUGGCUCAGGACGAACGCUGGCGGCGUGCCUAAUACAUGCAAGUCGAGCGAAUCAAUAGGAGCUUGCUCCUGUUGAUUAGCGGCGGACGGGUGAGUAACACGUGGGCAACCUGCCUGUAAGACUGGGAUAACACCGGGAAACCGGUGCUAAUACCGGAUAAUCCAUUCCCUCUCAUGAGGGAAUGCUGAAAGACGGUUUCGGCUGUCACUUACAGAUGGGCCCGCGGCGCAUUAGCUAGUUGGUGAGGUAACGGCUCACCAAGGCGACGAUGCGUAGCCGACCUGAGAGGGUGAUCGGCCACACUGGGACUGAGACACGGCCCAGACUCCUACGGGAGGCAGCAGUAGGGAAUCUUCCGCAAUGGACGAAAGUCUGACGGAGCAACGCCGCGUGAGCGAUGAAGGCCUUCGGGUCGUAAAGCUCUGUUGUUAGGGAAGAACAAGUAUCGGAGUAACUGCCGGUACCUUGACGGUACCUAACCAGAAAGCCACGGCUAACUACGUGCCAGCAGCCGCGGUAAUACAGAGGGUGCGAGCGUUGUUCGGAAUUAUUGGGCGUAAAGCGCGUGUAGGCGGCGGAGCAUGUCGGGUGUGAAAGCCCUCGGCUUAACCGAGGAAGUGCGCCCGAAACUGCUUUGCUAGAGUGCUGGAGAGGGUAGCGGAAUUCCCGGUGUAGAGGUGAAAUUCGUAGAUAUCGGGAGGAACACCAGUGGCGAAGGCGACUCGCUGGGCCGGUCCUGACGCUCAGGCGCGAAAGCGUGGGGAGCGAUCCGGAUUAGAUACCCGGGUAGUCCACGCCGUAAACGAUGGGUGCUAGGUGUCGGGGGUAUCGACCCCCCCGGUGCCGUCGCUAACGCACUAAGCACCCCGCCUGGGGACUACGGCCGCAAGGCUAAAACUCAAAGGAAUUGACGG
rnacentral:rRNA from 1 species